GAGUAGUAAUCAGAGUUGGGAGAUCUUUGGAGGAGUUUGGGAGCUUAAGGGCGAGGCCGGUACGGACGGCCGUACGGAUGGUACGGCCUGUACGGACAUGAUCGACUCAAGACUUAUGGACUCGACCAUUUGAAGAUAUUUGAGGGCUGUGCAAAUAUAGGGCAUUGGUGUACGGUUAUGGCAAGUCCGUACAGCCAAGGAGAAGCUCUAAUAUGAAUGUGCAAAGUCCGGGAUGGUGAGAAGCAUCAAAUGGAAUCAAGAAGAUGCUUUGGUGGCAAGAAGAUUCAAACAAGAGUUGGCGCCAGUUUGUGGGAAGUAUGGGAUUGGUUGUAGUGGUCCACGACAGGCUGGCCACAGCUGGAAAGGAAGAGCAAGACAAGGUUGUGUAUCUGGACAGUUAAAUGGGCAGAUACACAAGUUCUCCUCACCAUACUUUCCCUCAUCCAAUCAGGCACAUACAAGCAGCUAGUAAAGCACCAAGA
rnacentral:lncRNA from 1 species